rnacentral:SRP_RNA from 2 species
AAUCGGUCCCCUCGCAACGAAAAACUGUGAACCCGGUCAGGCCUGGAAGGGAGCAGCCGCAGCAGUGAACUCGUGUGCCGGGGUGUGGCUGAUUUGG